rnacentral:lncRNA from 1 species
AUCUAUAAUGAUAGAUUUCAAGAUAUAAUUUGAUUAUAUCAAUCCCUAAUAAUAGACAAUAGAUGCUAGGAAGUUUCUCAUAUGAUGAUAAACUUCAAUUAGAAGGACGACUCUAGUGAGACUAGCAAGUUGCCUUUCUCAAAGGGAACGUGCCCUUUGACUCCCAAAGAAAUAAUGCGUAAAUAGAAUCCUUUAUGCAUACGCAGAAAGGUGAUUUAUGAAUUUCAUAUUGUAUGAAAACAUUGAUAUGAGUUGUACCUA